AGCAGUAGCCGCGGUAAUACAGAGGGUGCAAGCGUUAAUCGGAAUUACUGGGCGUAAAGUGCGCGUAGGUGGUUUGUUAAGUUGGAUGUGAAAUCCCCGGGCUCAACCUGGGAACUGCAUCCAAAACUGGCAAGCUAGAGUAUGGUAGAGGGUGGUGGAAUUUCCUGUGUAGCGGUGAAAUGCGUAGAUAUAGGAAGGAACACCAGUGGCGAAGGCGACCACCUGGACUGAUACUGACACUGAGGUGCGAAAGCAUGGGGAGCAAACAGGAUUAGACCCCAGUAGUCCCUGUCUCUUAUACAC
rnacentral:rRNA from 1 species